UGGGGAAUAUUGGACAAUGGGCGAAAGCCUGAUCCAGCCAUGCCGCGUGUGUGAAGAAGGUCUUCGGAUUGUAAAGCACUUUAAGUUGGGAGGAAGGGCAUUAACCUAAUACGUUAGUGUUUUGACGUUACCGCCAGAAUAAGCACCGGCUAACUCUGUGCCAGCAGCCGCGGUAAUACAGAGGGUGCAAGCGUUAAUCGGAAUUACUGGGCGUAAAGCGCGCGUAGGUGGUUUGUUAAGUUGGAUGUGACAGCCCCGGGCUCAACCUGGGAACUGCAUUCAAAACUGACUGACUAGAGUAUGGUAGAGGGUGGUGGAAUUUCCUGUGUAGCGGUGAAAUGCGUAGAUAUAGGAAGGAACACCAGUGGCGAAGGCGACCACCUGGACUAAUACUGACACUGAGGUGCGAAAGCGUGGGGAGCAAACA
rnacentral:rRNA from 1 species